UCUGUGUUUGUUUAUGUUUGAUAUCAUAUUUUCUAUUUAUUUACCUAUCUCUGAUUACGUGUCGCUCGCCAUUAAUAGUUUCUUCGUGGUAUCAGAGAAGGUUUAACGCGAACGAUCAACGAUCUCUGUCUUCACUCCUUGACCUGUGUUACAACUUGUCCCUUGCAAUCUUCCAUCGGAAAUAUGCGAUUUCCACUCUGUUAUAUUCCAUCCAUUUUUUUAAUAUUCCAAAGUUCAAACUCUCUACAUGUGCUCAGAUUCACAUUUUCUUCUUCUCCCGCUACAACUCUCACACUUGCUUAGUAUCCUUGCAUACUUCUGAUCUACUUAAUACUCACUUGUGGUUAGAUCUACCUAAUAUAAAUUAUCAUACUUUAAGAUCUAAGAUUUUUAUAUCAAAAAUGUAAUAUACUUACAUAUUCAAACGUAUUUUGUAUAUUGAAUUCAUUACGACGGAAGUUACAGACUUGAUCUCUGGAUAUUUCUUUGUUUUUCUUUUGAGAUUUCUGAGACUCGUCUAUUGAUGAUGUGUCUAUCAUGUGGACUGAUCUGAGGUACCAAUUCAGACAGUCAAAUGAGACUCACAUAUAUCGAUCAGUUGCAAUGACAUUUCAAGAUAUUAAAUUAUUUUCUUUCUUUAUCAUAUCAUUUUCUAUAAGAAAAAGAAUAAAAAAACGAUGGUAUCUCAUUCAGUCAUCAAAUCAAUUUUUUUUAAAUAAAAAUUAUUGAAAAUUAAAUUACAAAUUCAAUAAUAUCUCAUUCGAUCGAUAUAUUUUAAUUUAAAAUGUUUUCAUUUAUAAUUUAAAUAUCUUUAUUUAUUUCAUUUGAGAUGACAAAUUUUAACAAAAUAAAAACCUAACAAUCAAAUUAAUAAUAGAAUUAGAGUUGAAAAAAUUAACUAUUAUAAUCUUUAAUUCGAAUUUAAAAAUAAAUAAAUAAUUAGAAAUCUUACAUGUUGCAAGCCGCCAACAUUCUCUUCUGAUCCAACGUUCCACUUUUCUCCAAAGAAUGGAUGGUCCGGAUCAAAGAGAAUUCUCAUGAGAACCCUUUUUACCUAAUAAG
rnacentral:lncRNA from 1 species